rnacentral:rRNA from 1 species
AUAUGUUCUUCGUGACAUGGCGUACUGCUCAGUAACACGUGGAUAACCUGCCCUUGGGUCCGGCAUAACCCCGGGAAACUGGGGAUAAUUCCGGAUAACGCACAUAUGCUGGAAUGCUUUAUGCGUCAAAUGGAUUCGUCUGCCCAAGGAUGGGUCUGCGGCCUAUCAGGUAGUAGUGGGUGUAAUGUACCUACUAGCCGACGACGGGUACGGGUUGUGAGAGCAAGAGCCCGGAGAUGGAUUCUGAGACAUGAAUCCAGGCCCUACGGGGCGCAGCAGGCGCGAAAACUUUACAAUGCGGGAAACCGUGAUAAGGGGACACCGAGUGCCAGCAUCAUAUGCUGGCUGUCCGGGUGUGUAAAAUACACCUGUUAGCAAGGGCCGGGCAAGACCGGUGCCAGCCGCCGCGGUAACACCGGCGGCCCGAGUGGUGAUCGUGAUUAUUGGGUCUAAAGGGUCCGUAGCCGGUUUGGUCAGUCCUCCGGGAAAUCUGACGGCUUAACCGUUAGGCUUUCGGAGGAUACUGCCAGGCUUGGAACCGGGAGAGGUAAGAGGUACUACAGGGGUAGGAGUGAAAUCUUGUAAUC